GCCUGGAAACUCUUGAACACUGCGUGAGACUCUCAUGCUGAUGACAGCCUAGGAAAAGGAAGAUGGUGCCUGUGAUGAAGACGGCGCCUUGAAUGGAGGGUGCUGGGACACAUGGUCCUCCCAGCAGGUACAUGCUGGGAGGCUCAGGCGCAUCUCAUUCCACAGGAGUUGCUGGCUGGGUGCAGAGUAAGACAGGCAGCAUGUGGGAGCCCAGGACUCAAGUUCAAGUCCUACAUCUCCAACUGGAUAAAAGACCUUGAGUGGAGAGCUCACUGCUUAGUGGACUGCCUGUGGUGAAUUUGGCCAGCUGUAGCUGCUGGGACAUCCUUCCCGUCCUUCCAGAGAGAGAUGCUAUCCCCUCAACUCCCAGCCAAAGUUCUCUGCAUCCUAACCUCUACCCACCCCUUAUCUCUGACUUUUUGUCUUCACCUCCUCUGGCUGAACAGAAGCAGGAACCAGGGUGGACUCCCUGGGCAGGGCCCUGGAUUUCCGCAGCUGCAUAACUGCCAAUCUGAUUUGUCCUGAGUAGAAAGUCCCUACAAUUCUAAUGACUGGAGGGAGGGCUGGGGGGGUGGGGGUCCUGGCCAGAGCCUCCCCAGGUGGCAGGCAUGGGAGAGUGAAUGGAGGCAUAUAGUCUGCUUCCUAGAUGCCCAGCCUAUUAUCCUGCACGGCCUGCCUGGCCUGGCCUGCCCAGGCUAAGGACAUAAGCCAAUGGGCAAGAAGCAGGGCCAGAUAGACAGUUUCAUGGGCACCGAUAGACAGGUGAGGUGCCUAGUGAGUGAGCUCCCUCACCAAAUGUGCAUCUUUUCAGCCCCUGCUUGUGUGUCUGGCCCUGUGAUGGACACUGGACCCUCAGAAAUGAAUUAGACACAGGAGCCUGAGGUUUGGACAAGCAUGAGGGAGACAACAGGGAAUAAUCAAAACUCUGCAUCCUUGGCCAUACCAGCAAAAUCAGCUCCAGACUCUGGAGAAAAAUCUUACAGAAUUUACCUUCCACCUAGUAGCCAGAGAGGGACUUGGCCUCCUGUUCCUUCUCCUCAACCUGCCAUGGCUCCCUAUUAGCAGACCAGAAGGCCCUUUGUGUAUUCAGAUCCACCUACCCUCCAGGCUCCUUUCUGGAACUCCACUCCCUCCCUCCUUCUACCUGCACUGAAUGCUUUGGGUUUUAACAGUCUCUCUGGCCUUCUGCCCUUUACCCAGAUUUUCUCUCUGUCCUUUUAACCUGCUAAUUGCUUCUUCAGAGCCAAAUUCCCAGCCCUCACCCCAGGCAACUUUCCCAGAUCCCAGACUAAGUCCCCUGUUACUUGCUCCUGUAGCCCCUCGUUCUGUUCACAGAACUGUCAUGGAACCUGCAGUGAGAUCCUUAAUUUUGUGCUUAUUCAACUGAUUAUGUACAAAAAGUGGGCUGUGUUCUCUUGGUCAUCUCUAUAUACCAUCACCACACCCCCAGGAUAAGCUUAGAGCCCAUGCUUAAUCAGUAUACAUGUAUGAGUGUUGAGUAAAUGAAUAUUAAAACCAAAGUGUUUCUAUUAAUAGAAAUUUAAGGUCAGGACAUCAGGGUGAUAACCUUGAAACUCAUAUUGAUAACAUUGCUAGCCUACAUGCUGAGGAU